rnacentral:lncRNA from 1 species
CAGGAGUGCCCGGGCAAUGCCCAAAGAGAUUGCUUGUGCCUGCCCAGAUAGACCACCUUCAUGUGCUUUUACAAACACAUCAUAACUUGUCUCCUAUCCCAAUGUUGCUAAAGGGACUUUGAUGUAAUGAAGCCACAAAUGAUUCCCUUGAAGAUAUUCCUGUAUAAUAAUUGAAUGCCCAAUCUUAAGCAAUGAUUCACAUUGGUUUUGGGAAUUUAAACUGCCGAUUUUGAAUACUGUCUUUGUUACAAUAAAUAAACUAAGAUGAGUUUCAUAAUACAUCUUGAUAUCAACUUACUCCUAUAAAUGAAUAUCACAACUUUUGAUUUCACAUUUGGCUAUGUCAAAUACUUGAAGUGUGACAAAAAUUGAAAGAAUCUUGACAAAUUUAAAAUACCAUUAGUUUGGUUGCAAUGUAGAAUUGAUGAUGCCAAAUGUUGCAGGUUUCAUGAUCUCAAACAAAAAAGAUUCUUUGGUUAACAAUUUGACAACAAUAGGUUUUGAUGUAAUUUCUGUAUCAAUUAUGCGUUUGAUAGCUCUUCUUGGUAGCUAGAUUAGAUAAAGUAAAAAAUUCAAGUUUUACAGCAAGAAACAAUAUAAUAUCAAAGCAAAAGGGAUUUUUGAACAAAUGUAGAUAAGACGCAGGAAGCAUAACAAAUAGCAAAUAUAACUUGGAAAAAUUUAGUAUAGUUUCAAAUUUGGGCUGUGGCCCCUCCCGAUUUCUCAAUAGUCCAUAGUCCAUAGUCCAUAGUCCAAUUUCCAAAAUCCAAACCAAACGAAUGUGAAAUCGAUCGUAUCUUCCGCCCUCAUCGUCGCUCGCUGCCUCGCUGGAGUCUGGACGCCUGUGGCCGGCUGGUCUCGCAAAAUCGCCAAUCGACAAUCGCCAUUCAUCGGAAAUCAGCUGUCACCGGAAGGUCACUCAAAUCAGGUAUGUAAGCUCAUUCUUUCUUCUCUUCCGGUUCUCCUUUAGGCCGUAGUCCUGUAGUUGAGUUAUUGGGGUUUUGGGAAUCAAUAGUUAAUUCAACAAUUAGGUAUGUUCAUACACUACCAAGACCCCCAAAAACUUUAAAUUUACGCCAUUUCUCCUGUACGCAAUUUCUUGGAUUAGGAAUUAGGACUGCCAAAAUCCAAAUGCUCCUGACUUGUUGACUUGUUGUUGAGUUGUUGUGAUUUGGGAAUCAAUAAUCAAUUCAAUGUUGAUUGUUUAUUGUUAGUUUGUUACUUUGUUGCAGAUUUUAGAUUAGGACAUUAGGUAUUGUUUUCACUUUUGAUUUCAAAAUUCAGUUUUUAGACACUGCUGUUAUUUUGAUUUCAAGGAGUUAUUAUGUUAUUGCAGAUUUUUGUUAUUUGUUAUUGCUUUUACACACUGUUGAAUUGAAUCAAUCGUUCCUUUUUCAGUGUUUAUUUGUUGAAAACAAUUUUGUUUUUUUAUGUAAGAACAUCAAAGUUUGAUGUUCAAGCAUUCUUCUAGAUAAAGGGGAGAACAUGAGAGAAAAACUUAUUCUCAUCAUCUCCUUGUUUUCUUUUCAUCUUUUUGUAGGAAAAUGGCUGAAACUGAGUAAUGAUGAUUCAACAAUACACUUCAAUAAUCACACCUCUUGAUGAGUAGUAUGGUAAGUUAUCUCUCCACAAAACAUUCAUCUUCUCAUUUUUAUGCUCCUUUUGCAACUUAUAGUAUCAUGAUAACUCUUGUAAAUCUUUUUCAGAAGCCAAGAGAGCAACCAAAGGUUCCUUGCCAAAUGGAAGCAGAGGUUGAUAGAAUCAGCAACUUACCAGGACACAUCAUAGACAAAAUCUUGUCUCUUUUAACCCUGCGUGAUGCAGUAAGAACAAGCAUCUUAUCAAGCAAAUGGAGAUACAAAUGGGUAAAUCUCACAAGUCUUGUAUUCGAUAAUCAAUCUGUUCUAGUCUCAUCUCAAGAUCCAACAAUCAUAAAAAACAAAAUGGUUAAAAUUGUGGAUCAUGUUUUAUUACUUCACAAUGGUCUAAUCCACAAAUUCAAGCUUUCACAUCGAGACCUUCAAGGUGUUUGUGACAUUGAUAGAUGGAUUCUGUUUCUUUCACGAGGUUCAGUCAAAGAAUUUAUACUUGAGAUUUGGAAAGGUCAACGCUACAAGCUACCAUCUUCUCUAUACUUGUGUGACAAGUUAUCUCAUUUAGAGCUUUUCAACUGUUUGUUGAAACCUCCAUUGGGGUUUAAUGGGUUUAAGAUCUUGACUAGUCUUGAUCUUCAACACAUUACAAUGGAUCAAGAUGUUUUUGAGGAUUUGAUACAUAGGUGUCCAUUGCUUGAGAGGUUGACUUUGAUGAACUUUGAAGGAUUUGCAAAUCUUAAGAUUCAUGCUCCUAAACUUACGUUUUUUGACAUUGGAGGUGUUUUUGAAGAUGUUGUGUUUGAGAACACUUUUCAUCUUUCUACUGUUUCUAUUGGGUUGUAUGUCAAUAUUGGCAAUGAUCAUGAGUUGACCCUUGGAACUACGAGCAAGUUGACCAAGUUUUUUGCUUCGUUGCCAAGUAUUCAAAGACUCGAAGUUCAAAGUUUCUUUUUAAAGGUAAAAAACCCAUCAAGGCCAUGUUUGUCUCUGUAUUUGUAUUUGUAUUUGUUACACAGGAUAAUAAGACACAACAUAACAGGUUGUACUAUAUUUUUACACAGACUGAUUUCAAUAAGACAAAAAUUGUACUUUUUUUGUCUCACCCAAAAAGCGUGAGACCCAGUCUCACCUUUUUGGAAAAGUUGCAAUUUUUUUUUCCCACCCAAAAAAGUGAGACAAAAAAUUGCAACUUUUGUCCAUUGGCAUUAAUUUUAGUCUAAUGUCUAAUGCAUGACAAACGCAGUGCAACCUGUUUUGUAUGUCUUGUAUUGUAUAACAAAUGGGACCUUAAUACAAUACUAAUUGGGGGGUAUUUUGGUCUAUUUGGUUGCAUGUAUAUAGUUUUUGGCAGUUGAUAUGGUGCCAAGGAGGUUGCCUACUCCAUGUAUGGAAUUGAAUUACCUUUCACUACGUAUAAAUUUCAAUGACAUGGAGGAGUGUCUUGCAGCCCUUUGCAUUCUUAGGAGUUCACCCAACCUUCUAGAACUCGAGUUGUUGGUGAGUUUCUUUCAAUCCAGUGCAUGUCAAACACAGUAUAAGUAUACAUGUGAGUUCAGUGCAUGUCAAACACAGUACAAGUGAUUUAUGUGUAAGAAUUUUUUUUUAUUAUGGUGUAGGCACGACCGGAUGAACAGGCAGCUCCAAGGGCAGUUGCAAAGAACUUAGUGGAAGAAGACUUCCAGAAUUGCUUUUUUAGCCAAUUGCGGUUUGUGAAAAUUGCUGGGAUUUUUGGGGUGGCUCGAGAGCUGAAUUUUAUUAACUUUUUGCUUGCGAAUACGCCUGUACUUGAAAGAAUGACUGUGAAGCCUGCUUCUCAAGAAUGUGGUUGGGACCUCCUCAAAGAAUUGUUAAGGUUUAGGCGAUCUUCUGUGCAUGCUGAAAUCAUUUACCUCGAUCCAUGAUUCACUUUAAACUUUAAAUCAUCAGUGUUUUCAUGCUUUUUAGUUUUAAUGCUUGACCAACACUUGUGUUUUUUUCUAUGUUAACCCGAAAGAAUCUGUUAACUUUGCUACAAAGACUUAUUUUGUGCCACGUUUCUUAUAUUCCUUCCACCGUUUUAUUAGGUUUGUUAACAUAGUAUAAAUGCAUGGUGAAGUACAUGUGUAGGUGAUUCAAUUAACUUUUUUUCAUUGGUUUAUAAAAUAAACAUGUAUCACAAUAUACAAGUCUUAAUUGGACCUAACGACCUAUGUUGCAAUAUAGUCAUAGUCUCGUGAUGUAGUUUUGUUGUAGCUAUUUUUGAUUUAUUGUCUAGGUCUUUAUUAGGUUUGUUUUAAAUGAAAUUUUGUUGGGUUAAUAUAAAGAAACUAACUUAAGAAAAUUGUAAAGUUAGGUUAUAAUGUAAUAAUUUAUCCAAGUAUAAUGUAAUGAUAGUAAGUUACGGUUUUGGCCCAUGUGGUAUAUAUUUCUAUUGUUUUUGUUAUAUUUUGGAAAUUUGAUAUUGAGGGGGGACCAAAUAUAAUGGAUUUAUCUAGAAUGGUAAAUGAAUCGAAGGUGAAAUUAUUUUUAUAUAAUAUUAUUAUAUUAUAUGUUUGAUUGUGUGUUUAUCUUCGUUUGUUUAUAUUUGUUCAGCAUGUUCAUAAACAUAAACAAAUGAACAUGAACAAUAUAAUUGGUUAAACGAACAAAAAAAAAAUACAAAAAAACUUGUUUGUUUAUAUGUUCGUGUUAGUUCCGUUAUUCUUUAUUCGGUUAAUUUAAAGAAACAAACAUAAAGAAGCCAUUGUUUGUAUUGGUUUACAUCAACCCAAGAUUUAACUACAAUAACAGUAAUGUCAAAUUUUUAAAAUUAGAAUCAAAUGUGUGAAAAUGUUUAUAUACCAUAGUAACAAAAACUGUAACUUAAUGAUGUAAUAAUAAUUUUUGGUAACGAAGAAGGGGCAUUCUGGACAAAGACAACUACGUUAUCCUGUAGUACGCUAUCCACCUUCAUAAACUCUCCAACCAAAAUUUCAUCCCCAAAUCCAGAAGGACCAAGAGAACGAAAAUGGCGAUGUCCAUCUCUUCGCUCACCUCAUCCUUCUCUUCUUUAUCUUUCUCCUCACAAGUUUCUCAAAAACCCUACUCCAUCUCUCUCGCUCCCUCCUCAAAAUCACUUCGCUUAUCUCAAUUUUCCACAAACAAACCCCAAUCUCUUACCAUACUUGCCACUGUCGCCGCCGAGCCUCUCACCGGAGAUUUGGAGACUACGAACAUCGAGAAGUACGUCAAAUCGAGACUCCCCGGUGGCUUCGCUGCCCAGACGCUGAUUGGCACCGGUCGCCGGAAAUGUGCCAUUGCGCGGGUUGUCAUUCAGGAAGGAACUGGAAAAUUCAUAAUCAAUUACCGUGAUGCACAGGUAGUUCCAUAUUAUCCACUUGUUAUGCUUUUGCGUCUUAUCUACAUUUGUUCAAAAAUCCCUUUUGCUUUGAUAUUGUUUCUUGCUGUAAAACUUGAAUUUUUUAGUCUAUCUAAUCUAGCAACCAAGAAGAGCUAUCAAACGCAUAAUUGAUACAGAAAUUACAUCAAAACCUAUUGUUGUCAAAUUGUUAACCAAAGAAUCUUUUUUGUUUGAGAUGAUGAAACUUGCAACAUUCUUCUUAAUGUUUUACUGAUUUGGCUUCAUCAAUUCUGCAUUGCAACCAAACUAAAGGUAUUUUAAAUUAGUCCAGAUUCUUUCAGUUCUUGUCUCACUGAAGAAUUACUUCUUCAAGUAUUUGAGAUAACCAAAUGUGAAAUCAAAGUAGGAGUAAGUUGUUGAUGAUAACAAUUAACAAAGACUGUGCAGUUUAAAUUCCCAAAACGAGUGUGAAUCAUUGCUUAAGAUUGGGGAUUCAAUUAUUAUACAGGAAUAUCUUCAAGGGAAUCCUUUGUGGCUUCAAUACAUCAAAGUGCCUUUAGCAACAUUGGGAUACGAGACAAGUUAUGAUGUGUUUGUGAAGGCACAUGGAGGUGGUCUAUCAGGGCAGGCACAAGCAAUCUCUUUGGGCAUUGCCCGGGCGCUUCUGAAAGUGAGUGAAGACCACAGAAAGCCUCUGAGGAAGGAAGGUCUGCUUACUAGAGAUGCAAGAAGAGUUGAAAGGAAGAAAGCUGGUCUCCAUAAAGCACGAAAAGCCCCACAAUUCUCCAAACGUUGAGGGGCGUUUUCGACAUUUACUCCAAUCAAUGUUUUGUU